UACGGAGGGUGCAAGCGUUGUCCGGAUUUAUUGGGUUUAAAGGGUGCGUAGGCGGCUAUUUAAGUCAGUGGUGAAAUCCAACAGCUUAACUGUUGAACUUCCAUUGAUACUGGAUGGCUUGAGUACAGACAAGGUAGGCGGAAUUUAUGGUGUAGCGGUGAAAUGCAUAGAUACCAUAAAGAACACCGAUUGCGAAGGCAGCUUACUAGGCUGUAACUGACGCUGAGGCACGAAAGCGUGGGGAUCAAACAGG
rnacentral:rRNA from 1 species